GACGAACGCUGGCGGCGCGCCUAACACAUGCAAGUCGAACGAGAGAUGAGGAGCUUGCUCUUCAAAUCGAGUGGCGAACGGGUGAGUAACGCGUGAGGAACCUGCCUCAAAGAGGGGGACAACAGUUGGAAACGACUGCUAAUACCGCAUAAGCCCACGGCUCGGCAUCGAGCAGAGGGAAAAGGAGCAAUCCGCUUUGAGAUGGCCUCGCGUCCGAUUAGCUAGUUGGUGAGGUAACGGCCCACCAAGGCGACGAUCGGUAGCCGGACUGAGAGGUUGAACGGCCACAUUGGGACUGAGACACGGCCCAGACUCCUACGGGAGGCAGCAGUGGGGAAUAUUGCACAAUGGGGGAAACCCUGAUGCAGCGACGCCGCGUGGAGGAAGAAGGUCUUCGGAUUGUAAACUCCUGUUGUUGAGGAAGAUAAUGACGGUACUCAACAAGGAAGUGACGGCUAACUACGUGCCAGCAGCCGCGGUAAAACGUAGGUCACAAGCGUUGUCCGGAAUUACUGGGUGUAAAGGGAGCGCAGGCGGGAGAACAAGUUGGAAGUGAAAUCCAUGGGCUCAACCCAUGAACUGCUUUCAAAACUGUUUUUCUUGAGUAGUGCAGAGGUAGGCGGAAUUCCCGGUGUAGCGGUGGAAUGCGUAGAUAUCGGGAGGAACACCAGUGGCGAAGGCGGCCUACUGGGCACCAACUGACGCUGAGGCUCGAAAGUGUGGGUAGCAAACAGGAUUAGAUACCCUGGUAGUCCACACCGUAAACGAUGAUUACUAGGUGUUGGAGGAUUGACCCCUUCAGUGCCGCAGUUAACACAAUAAGUAAUCCACCUGGGGAGUACGACCGCAAGGUUGAAACUCAAAGGAAUUGACGGGGGCCCGCACAAGCAGUGGAGUAUGUGGUUUAAUUCGACGCAACGCGAAGAACCUUACCAAGUCUUGACAUCCCUUGACGAUGCUGGAAACAGUAUUUCUCUUCGGAGCAAGGAGACAGGUGGUGCAUGGUUGUCGUCAGCUCGUGUCGUGAGAUGUUGGGUUAAGUCCCGCAACGAGCGCAACCCUUAUGGUCAGUUACUACGCAAGAGGACUCUGGCCAGACUGCCGUUGACAAAACGGAGGAAGGUGGGGAUGACGUCAAAUCAUCAUGCCCUUUAUGACUUGGGCUACACACGUACUACAAUGGCGUUAAACAAAGAGAAGCAAGACCGCGAGGUGGAGCAAAACUCAGAAACAACGUCCCAGUUCGGACUGCAGGCUGCAACUCGCCUGCACGAAGUCGGAAUUGCUAGUAAUCGUGGAUCAGCUUGCCACGGUGAAAUACGUUCCCGGGCCU
rnacentral:rRNA from 1 species